UACGUAGGUGACAAGCGUUGUCCGGAUUUACUGGGCGUAAAGAGCGCGCAGGCGGUCGUUCAAGUCGAGUGUGAAAGCCCCCGGCUCAACUGGGGAGGGUCACUCGAUAUUGAUCGACUCGAAGGCAGGAGAGGGAAGUGGAAUUCCCGGUGUAGUGGUGAAAUGCGUAGAUAUCGGGAGGAACACCAGUGGCGAAGGCGACUUCCUGGCCUGUUCUUGACGCUGAGGCGCGAAAGCUAGGGGAGCAAACGGGG
rnacentral:rRNA from 1 species